UACAGAGGGUGCAAGCGAUGUUCGGAAUUAUUGGGCGUAAAGCGCGUGUAGGCGGCUUUGCAAGUCGGGUGUGAAAGCCCUCAGCUCAACUGAGGAAGUGCGCCCGAAACUGCAGAGCUUGAGUGCCGGAGAGGGUGGCGGAAUUCCCCAAGUAGAGGUGAAAUUCGUAGAUAUGGGGAGGAACACCGGUGGCGAAGGCGGCCACCUGGACGGUAACUGACGCUGAGACGCGAAAGCGUGGGGAGCAAACAGG
rnacentral:rRNA from 1 species